GUAGGUGAACCUGCGGAAGGAUCAUUAGUGAAUAAACAGUGCAGGUUGUGCUGGCCUUCUUGGUAUGUGCACGCCUGCCAAUGUUUCAUUCUAUCUUCCACCUGUGCACUCUGUGUAGAUUCUGUAUGCUUCUGUCAGGCUUUUAUUGGGCUUGGUUGAGAGGAGUUGCUUGCUUUCCGCAAGCUCUUCUUGGGCAUGCAGGUCUAUGUUUUAUAUCAACACCAUAUGAAUGUUAUAGAAUGUGCUUUUG
rnacentral:misc_RNA from 1 species